CUCUGAAAUUUAACCCUAGAAUAUAAGCCAAUUCAAUUCACUCUCCCUCCAUCGUUACCCUAGCUCGCCGCUGCUGCGCUGCAUGUCUUCGUCCCUCUCCCUCCAUCGUUCAUCCACUCUCCUCUCUGGAGGGUAACCGAAGCAAGGGCUAAGGAUAUCAUCUUUUGACUGAAGACUUCAUACUUCUGAGUUCUGAGAGCACUUUGUCUGAAAUGAAGAAAUCUAGGCAGCGUUUGACGGCACCAAUGCCUUUACCAACUGAAACCGACAAUCCCCCAACUGCUACACAGCCAUCCAAUGCCACCCCAGCUGAAGGAGGUGCUUCU